UACGUAGGGUGCGAGCGUUAAUCGGAAUUACUGGGCGUAAAGCGUACGCAGGCGCUAUGCAAGACAGGUGUGAAAUCCCCGGGCUUAACCUGGGAACUGCAUUUGUGACUGCAUAGCUAGAGUUUGUCAGAGGGGGGGUGGAAUUCCACGUGUAGCAGUGAAAUGCGUAGAGAUGAUGGAGGAACACCGAUGGCGAAGGCAGCCCCCUGGGACCUGACCUGGACGCCUCAUGUACGAAAGCGUGGGGAGCAAACAGG
rnacentral:rRNA from 1 species